rnacentral:rRNA from 1 species
GGGUUCCUGUCCAACGUUAAUCGGGGCAGGGUGAGUCGACCCCUAAGGCGAGGCCGAAAGGCGUAGUCGAUGGGAAACAGGUUAAUAUUCCUGUACUUGGUGUUACUGCGAAGGGGGACGGAGAAGGCUAUGUUGGCCGGGCGACGGUUGUCCCGGUUUAAGCGUGUAGGCUGGUUUUCCAGGCAAAUCCGGAAAAUCAAGGCUGAGGCGUGAUGACGAGGCACUGCGGUGCUGAAGCAACAAAUGCCCUGCUUCCAGGAAAAGCCUCUAAGCAUCAGGUAACAUCAAAUCGUACCCCAAACCGACACAGGUGGUCAGGUAGAGAAUACCAAGGCGCUUGAGAGAACUCGGGUGAAGGAACUAGGCAAAAUGGUGCCGUAACUUCGGGAGAAGGCACGCUGAUAUGUAGGUGAAGUCCCUCGCGGAUGGAGCUGAAAUCAGUCGAAGAUACCAGCUGGCUGCAACUGUUUAUUAAAAACACAGCACUGUGCAAACACGAAAGUGGACGUAUACGGUGUGACGCCUGCCCGGUGCCGGAAGGUUAAUUGAUGGGGUUAGCGCAAGCGAAGCUCUUGAUCGAAGCCCCGGUAAACGGCGGCCGUAACUAUAACGGUCCUAAGGUAGCGAAAUUCCUUGUCGGGUAAGUUCCGACCUGCACGAAUGGCGUAAUGAUGGCCAGGCUGUCUCCACCCGAGACUCAGUGAAAUUGAACUCGCUGUGAAGAUGCAGUGUACCCGCGGCAAGACGGAAAGACCCCGUGAACCUUUACUAUAGCUUGACACUGAACAUUGAGCCUUGAUGUGUAGGAUAGGUGGGAGGCUUUGAAGUGUGGACGCCAGUCUGCAUGGAGCCGACCUUGAAAUACCACCCUUUAAUGUUUGAUGUUCUAACGUUGACCCGUAAUCCGGGUUGCGGACAGUGUCUGGUGGGUAGUUUGACUGGGGCGGUCUCCUCCUAAAGAGUAACGGAGGAGCACGAAGGUUGGCUAAUCCUGGUCGGACAUCAGGAGGUUAGUGCAAUGGCAUAAGCCAGCUUGACUGCGAGCGUGACGGCGCGAGCAGGUGCGAAAGCAGGUCAUAGUGAUCCGGUGGUUCUGAAUGGAAGGGCCAUCGCUCAACGGAUAAAAGGUACUCCGGGGAUAACAGGCUGAUACCGCCCAAGAGUUCAUAUCGACGGCGGUGUUUGGCACCUCGAUGUCGGCUCAUCACAUCCUGGGGCUGAAGUAGGUCCCAAGGGUAUGGCUGUUCGCCAUUUAAAGUGGUACGCGAGCUGGGUUUAGAACGUCGUGAGACAGUUCGGUCCCUAUCUGCCGUGGGCGCUGGAGAACUGAGGGGGGCUGCUCCUAGUACGAGAGGACCGGAGUGGACGCAUCACUGGUGUUCGGGUUGUCAUGCCAAUGGCACUGCCCGGUAGCUAAAUGCGGAAGAGAUAAGUGCUGAAAGCAUCUAAGCACGAAACUUGCCCCGAGAUGAGUUCUCCCUGACUCCUUGAGGGUCCUGAAGGAACGUUGAAGACGACGACGUUGAUAGGCCGGGUGUGUAAGCGCAGCGAUGCGUUGAGCUAACCGGUACUAAUGAACCGUGAGGCUUAACCUU